GAGUAACACGUGACUAACCUACCCUGAAGUGGGGAAUAACCUCGGGAAACCGGGGCUAAUACCGCAUAACAUCGCGAGGGGCAGAUCCUAGUGAUCAAAGGAGCAAUUCGCUUUAGGAGGGGGUCGCGGCUGAUUAGCUAGUUGGUGAGGUAACGGCUCACCAAGGCAAAGAUCAGUAUCCGGCCUGAGAGGGCGCACGGACACACUGGAACUGAAACACGGUCCAGACUCCUACGGGAGGCAGCAGUGGGGAAUUUUGCGCAAUGGGGGAAACCCUGACGCAGCAACGCCGCGUGGAGGAUGAAGUCCCUUGGGAUGUAAACUCCUUUCGAUCGGGACGAUUAUGACGGUACCGGAAGAAGAAGCACCGGCUAACUCUGUGCCAGCAGCCGCGGUAAUACAGAGGGUGCAAGCGUUGUUCGGAAUUAUUGGGCGUAAAGGGCGCGUAGGCGGUGCGGUAAGUCCGCAGUGAAAUCUCUGGGCUCAACUCAGAGUCUGCUGUGGAAACUGCCGUGCUAGAGUGUGGGAGAGGUGAGUGGAAUUCCCGGUGUAGCGGUGAAAUGC
rnacentral:rRNA from 1 species